rnacentral:rRNA from 1 species
UCAACCUGGUUGAUCCUGCCAGUAGUCAUAUGCUUGUUUCAAGGAUUAAGCCAUGCAAGCCUUAGAGUAACUGGACUAAUAGGAGGUCUGCGAACGGCUCAUUAAAUCAGUGAUUAUCUACCGGGAGAAUCGCAGGUCACACUGCUUCAUGGUAUUUAAACCAACCAACGAGUAACAAUUGGAGGACAAGUCUG